AGGACGAACGCUGGCGGCGUGCCUAACACAUGCAAGUCGAACGAGGUCCAUGUAGUGGCAACACUACGGAAGGCCUAGUGGCGAACGGGUGAGUAACACGUGAGGAACUUGCCCCGGAGACCGGGAUAACUCUUCGAAAGGGGAGCUAAUACCGGAUGUUCUCACCGAGUCGCAUGGCUUGGUGAGGAAAUGGAUUCCGCUCCGGGAGAGCCUCGCGGCCUAUCAGCUAGUGGAGGGUAACGCCACAAGCAUCGACGGGUAGCUGGUCUGAGAGGACGAUCGAGCCACACGUGGACUGAGACACGGCCCAGACUCCGUACGGGAGCAGCAGGUGGGGAACUCGUUGACGCAAGUGGGACGAAAGUCCUAGGACGCAGACGAACGCCGCGUGGCGGGAUCGGACGUCCGUUACGGUUACGUAACCGUCGUUU
rnacentral:rRNA from 1 species